rnacentral:ncRNA from 1 species
AUUAACGAUGGUGAUGGAGUUCACCCAAAUUGCUACUUAGCUAAUGACUCCUGCAGGCUU